UUACAAGUACCUUUGAUGGUGAAAAUUACAUUUUUUAUCUGAAGAGAGUUGGGAGAAAUUUUCAUAUUGAAACGAGAUAUUGUGUAAAGAGGUUUUCAAAGAAGUCGUUUUAACAACAAUGGAAAAGCUUCCGAUUCCCGAGAUAAACGUGAAAGCAUUUGAUACAUGAUUAAAGAAUCGUUCAAAAGUUUG